AUUGAACGCUGGCGGCAGGCCUAACACAUGCAAGUCGAGCGGCAGCGGGAAAGUAGCUUGCUACUUUUGCCGGCGAGCGGCGGACGGGUGAGUAAUGCCUGGGGAUCUGCCCAGUCGAGGGGGAUAACUACUGGAAACGGUAGCUAAUACCGCAUACGCCCUACGGGGGAAAGCAGGGGACCUUCGGGCCUUGCGCGAUUGGAUGAACCCAGGUGGGAUUAGCUAGUUGGUGAGGUAAUGGCUCACCAAGGCGACGAUCCCUAGCUGGUCUGAGAGGAUGAUCAGCCACACUGGAACUGAGACACGGUCCAGACUCCUACGGGAGGCAGCAGUGGGGAAUAUUGCACAAUGGGGGAAACCCUGAUGCAGCCAUGCCGCGUGUGUGAAGAAGGCCUUCGGGUUGUAAAGCACUUUCAGCGAGGAGGAAAGGUUGAUGCCUAAUACGUAUCAGCUGUGACGUACUCGCAG
rnacentral:rRNA from 1 species